rnacentral:rRNA from 1 species
GGGAAUCUUCCACAAUGGACGCAAGUCUGAUGGAGCAACGCCGCGUGAGUGAAGAAGGUCUUCGGAUCGUAAAACUCUGUUGUUAGAGAAGAACACGAGUGAGAGUAACUGUUCAUUCGAUGACGGUAUCUAACCAGCAAGUCACGGCUAACUACGUGCCAG